rnacentral:tRNA from 1 species
UCUGAAAUAGCUCAGUUGGCAGAGGGUCAGACUAUAAAUCGAAAGGUCCUUGGUUCGAUCCCGGUUCCGGCA